rnacentral:lncRNA from 1 species
UGAUCUGCCCACCUCAGCCUCCCAAAGUGCUGAGAUUACAGGCGUGAGCCACUGCGCCUGGCCUAGCGUUAUUUUAGCCCUAACUAACAUUAUUCUCUGGGUCAGUGAAAUUUAAGUGGAAUAUAUUGGGCAGUGACCUAAUGGAGCAUGAAGCAGGAUUUGAAUCACUUCCAAAGCUGUGCACCAACCACUUAGGCAAAUUAGUGAUUUCAGUAACUUAGUAUUUCAGUAACUGGCGCUCACAGGCAAAUGCGUAAUGGAUUAACCCCAUAUUAUUUAAAUGUUUCCAAAAAGCUAUAGGAAAAUGGCCAUUAAAAACAAACUGACAAAUUUAGCCAACAGGCCACUAUUUGACAAUUCUGCAAGCUUAUUUUUAAAAUUCAGCUUAUCAAAACUGCCAUUCCAGAAGCCAGGGACCUGAGUUUCCAUAGAGGAUGGAGUAGAAUGGAGGGGCCUCUGUAUAAAUCUACCUCCUCGGGAACUGGGACAGUUCAGCAUUCACCAGAGUAACAUAUGAAGAAACAGGAGAUUCCUACAUGCUCCUGGGGAUCCAGAAGAGAGACCACUCACAUGACUGGAAGAUUUCCAGCUCAGGGAGUGCUGGUUUGCCACAAAACUCCAUCGUAACUGAAAGAGGAAAUCUUCUACAAAUUCCAGAGACCUUCUUGGAGGAUGAGAAGCAGCCACUAGUUGACAGGAGGGGAAGUGAGGCAUGUAGUCUUCAAGGGAGCAGACCACCGUGGGAGUUAUAAAAUAUCAGCGACGCCUCUGGGUGGGUUCGAACCGCCAACCUUUUAGUUAACAGCCAAACGCGCUAGCCGAUUGCGCCACAGAGACAUGGCUGAGCUCCUGAUUUCGUUCUAAAAGAGGGUAAGCUGUCACUAAACGCUAGCUAGCACCAUCCGCCUUUUGCAAAAUGAUUGGGUAAUCUCCAAAGCCUGACCAACAUGGUGAAAACCUGCCUCCACUAAAAACACAAAAUUAGCUGGGGGUGGUGGUGCAUGCCUGUAAUCCCAGCUACUUAGGAGGCUGAGGCAGGAGAAUUGCUUGAACCUGAGAGGCGGAGGUUGCAAUGAGCUGAGAUCGCACCCUUGCACUCCAGCCUGGGCAACAACAGCAAAAACUCCACCUCAAAAAAAAAAAAAAAAGAAAAGAAAAGAAAAUGAGCUAAGGAGCUAGGCUUCCUUAUUUCACAACCUUGGCUCUGUCUCCUAUGAAACCAGGGCAACUAUUUAACCCCUCCAUGUCUGAGUUUCCUCAUGUAUAAAUGAAGGGAGCAAUAGUACCUAGCUUAUAAGGCCAUUAUAAGGAUUUUAAAAGUUAAUCUAAAGUGCUUAGGACAGUGUAUGGCAUAGAGCAAGCACUCAGUAAAUCCAUUCAUUCAAUAAAUGUUUAUUGAAUAUAGGUGUGGCUGCUGUUUUGGCUGAUGAGUAUACUAAAGUCAGUGAAACAGACGAAAUCUGUGGAGCUUUCUUCCUUGGGGGAGGAGGCCAACAACAACAACGAAUACACACAGAGGAAGAGCAAUGGAAUGAAUUGUGUUCCCUCCCCUCCCAAAUUCAUAUGUUGAAGCCCUAACUGCCAACGUGAUGGUAUCUGGAGAUGGGGCAUUUGGGAAAUAAUUAGAUUUAGAAGAGAUCAUGAAGGUGGGAGACUCGUGAUGGGAUUAGUGCCCUUUUAAGAAGAGAAAGAGUCAGGUGCAGUGGCUCUUGCCUGUAAUCUCAGCACUUU